GAACUAUAUCUCUGCUUGAGUCUUCCAACGUGUCGCUACGUGGACAGCCAGAAUUUCCCGGCAAAAUGUCAACUGAUGGCAGCCCGCCAAUAUAUAUUUCUAAGAACGAACGAUAGAAAAAUCUGUAAAUUCUUACUAAACGACUGAAGUGAUCUCUUUCUCAGUUCGUAUAUUCCAUAUUUCCGUGACAGGUCUCCUGAGGUGACAGUGUCUGCAACCAUAUUCCUGGAAACUGUUAAUUAAAAAUCAAGACUGUCUCUCAAGUCUAAACCGAAUAGCAAAUGACGUCCAUGACCUAACUGUCAAUGAUGCCUAUUUGACAGGCGUUACAUCACGACUCCUGUCACUUGUCCAAUGCCUGAGUAUGUAAACCUCGAAUAGCCUUAUAUAUAUUUAUUCGAAGUGUUACUACCAGUCAGCUGAUGUAGAUACGUAAAUAAGACAUACCGUGCUAAACCUGUUAGAUGCUUCGUAUAAUCGGCAGCCAUACUUUCCCUGAGGCUUUUCCAUGCUGAUGAACACCGGUGCUGACAGUUACAUUUAAAUAAUUCUCGAACGGGUCAGACGGCAAGUCAAUUCUACGUAUAACCUCGAAGGAACCAUGCAUUCCUUUACAAAAAAACAAAGUUUGAGGUUAGGAGUGUGACGAAGUGAACCUAUAAGCCGUAAGGCGACGAGAGUAAGUCGCCAGGCAGUCUGGGAGGUUUCGAGGCCUGAACAGUCCUCAAAGAAAUAAUGACGUAUUGGACUAUGUCCAAACCAGACACGAACCUAAGUGACCUAAUAUAUCUCGCAACUAAGACUCCUAAGAAAGAAAGAAUCCAGGAUGUAGCACAACGACUCUCAUUAAAAGAUUGGCAAAUUGAUUUACAGAAAGUGUUGGACGUGGAUUACACAAGCUGAUGUAAAAGUGACAAAUAAAAGGAGUACAAAAGUAAAAGUCCUUUCUCCAGUUUUCUAUUAAUAAUUUACCUAAGGAAAAAAUACGUGCACUAUCCGAAGCGUGAGUUGCAACGGCCAAAAUUGAUUAAAAUUCAUAUCAAUCACCACUACUGACGUUAUGCAGACAUUUUUUUCUUUAAUAUCUUCAACAAUACGAAUACUGAUACAAAUUUUUAUGGCUUACUGUACUUUU